CUCUUAUCCAGAGUGGCGGAGGGACUGGCCCAAUGAAGCCCGGCAACCUGUUGGAUAUUCCAAUGUGGUGCUAAUUCCUGUCAGAGAGUGUUCUCUCUGAAAGAUGAGAG
rnacentral:ncRNA from 1 species